rnacentral:lncRNA from 1 species
AAGAAAGGCAGAAGCUCAGAUACGGGAUCGAACUACAAUACCCAUAAUGAUUUCGUGAACCUCCUCGUGCAGGCCUCGUGGGAAAUGUAGUACAGGUUAAACCACGGUUUAAAGGUGUUGGGCAAGGUGCUGGUUUAAAUGUUGCAGGGAAGGGCAAGAUCAUCCCUGACAACUAGGCUGGGCACCUUACAGUGGUCAUUUUAAGAUGGGAGGCCUCGAUAAAAUGAAAGGAGCAAUAGCUGAGGACUCAGGGGCUUGAGAUUCAAGUCCUGACUAAACCAAUUAUUAUCUUUGUGAUCUCAGGUAUGUAGCUUAAUUUCACCAAACAUACUUCCUCAUCCAUGAAAUGGGAAGAAUAAUAC